rnacentral:misc_RNA from 1 species
GGGCUGGAACUUGGGAAGAGAAAAGCCUUAAUAAAUGGGCAACCGAUAGGAUAAAGGAGCUGCUUAUGUCAGUUGGCUCCUUGGAGUUCUCCAGUGGCAAAGCAGAAAUAGCAGAAGUGUCCAAAUGUUUUGGUGAUGCAUUUUUGGUGACUGUCAGAAACAAGAAACGAGUUGGUUAUACUUACGAGUUGACAUUGAAAAUCAAAGGUGAGUGGAUUGUCAAAGAGGAGAAAAAGAUGGUCAAGGCUCAUAUUGAUGUCCCAGAGUUUUGUUUUGGUGAGCUAGAAGACUUGCAGGUGUGUUUUCUAUUUCCAUUUGAAUGCUUAGAGGUACAAAAAUGAAUUACAGAAAGUAAUCAAUGUAGGUCCUUCCUCAAAUUUAGAAUGACUAUAGAGAGAAUUUUAUGUAUAUAGGCUUGUCUAUGAUUUGCCACUGUGGCUUUUCCUUUGGUCUUACCCCAUCCAAUGAUUUUUUUCUCCAUCAUCCACUUUAAAGUCAAUAAAUCAAUUUAUUCUCUCUCUCAAAAAAUAAGGGAAGAGGGGGACGGGGGACUAUUAUUUUUUCUGAAGUAGUUUCAAAACAAAAUGAAAAAAAGUUCAUAAAUAUGUAAACCAGAAAUUGUAUUCGUUUGGAAGAUUUACCCAUUUUGAACUAUCGGUGAAUAAAGGUAAAGGUAUAUGAGAGAUAACUUGGAUGAAAUUGUCAAGAAGCAUUUAGCACCCAUGGACCUUUUUGAAAGUAUAGCCUCAAAUCAAGGAAAAUGGAGAAAAUUGAUCAAACCAUAUUGAGAUAUGAAUUUUGGCUAAUUUGAGUGAGUAGUUAAAAAUCAAGGGAAUUUCAUAUUUAGAAAUUAUUGCUUAAACAUUUUAGAAGUGGGAUUUAUUUCCCUCGGGAAUGAAAUUGCAGAAUUUGUGGGUUCUUAGUGUUUUAAUUUUAUAUUUUUAUUGGUUUUAAUGUAUCAACUAGCUAUGCCAAUCAAGCAAAGUCAAUGUUUUAUGUUAAAAGCCAUAUGGUAAUAAAGUGAAAAAGGGCCUAAUUACAUGGGAAUUUGCUUGAUUCCCCCAUUAUCUCACAAAUACUACUCAAAAUUCUUUGAACUGAAUUGGCCAUGUGUUAGAAGGAUGUACCUAUUCAUUUAGGAGAUAUUUUCUCCAAAAUAUGUAGCAUUUGUUUUAUGUAUCUUUUUCUCCAGUUUAUCCUGUUUAAAGAACCAAAGAAUUUGUUUGUCCCUUUAAUACCAUGAAGUUUCAUUCAUUACCACCUUUAACUUCACCUUUUUACUAAUUUCAUUAAACAUAUAUUUAAGUGCUAUGCAAAGGGGAUGAAACAACUCAUCUUGUGAAAUCAAAUACUUUAGGAAAAAACCAUUUUUGAGCCCUGAAAACUUUGAGAUUCGACUAUUGGGUCACUAUUCUUCAAUUGUGUAUUAUUGAGUUCACGAACUUUCCAAUUUAAGGAUAUCAAGGAUUUAUUUAAUGCCAAAAGCUUUUAGGAAAAUGAGAAGUUUUUAGUUGGUAGCUUAAAAAAUUGCAUUGCUUAAUAGACAUACAAUGAAAGUACCAUAGGCUUGGAAAUGGGGCUUCUCUUUUCUCUAACUUCAAUAAUUUCAAAAGUAAAAAAGUAGUGCAAUUUUUUAAAUGUUUGUAAACAAUUAUUAUCCAAUUUCUGAUUUUUGUAUUGAUAUGGUUAAAUAUGUCUUCGUGUGUUAAUUUGGAAGCACAAAACUCGAAGGAAAAUGCUACACUGCCUGCUGUAUACAUGUUUGAUGUUAAGAUGGACAUAGCCCAAGAUCUUUUUGAAGUGGCAAUAACUGGGUGGCAUGGAGGAAAAAGAUCAAUAUAGUCCUACUCUGACCAAUUUGGGAUUAAGCUUUAGUUGAUGAAGAGUUAGGAAUCUCAGUUUAAUAUCAAUAAAAUCAAAACAAGCAACAAUGAUCAGAAAAUAGAAGAAACUCUGCAAUUUUCAUUAAUGGAUCUGCUCAACCAAGUAACUAAUUACAAGAGUUUCAAUUCGAGCAACCUUAUGAAAAAAGAAAGACUCUCAAGAGAACUUUGCCACAGAGUAACUUACUCUGCGUCAAGCCUAAACAGCUGGAAAUUACACUUUUUUUCCCGUGACCUUUGCAGUAGUCACUACAUCUAUUUAUAGUUUUUUCCUGAUGUUAUCUCAUGGGAAACCAUCCUUUUGCCUUCACCUUUAGUUAGUUACAUAAUAGAAUUCUGGCCAUUUCGCUUUCUGCCGCUCCUGGAAUCUUCUUGUGCCUCUUGGAAUACACACACCAGCCUUUAGGUGCUUUUCCCCAACCUGCUUCCUCGUUUGUUUCCAUGCUCCUAUUAUUGCCACCCUCUAAAGGAACAGUCUUGUCCUCAAGACUGAAAGAUGGAAAUUGACCCCAUAUGUCAUUGGAAUCCAUCGAAGUUGCUUCUUCAGUGGACUUGCCUUGCCAUUGGAUGAAGACCUGUGGAGCUUGGUGCCCAUC